rnacentral:tRNA from 1 species
GGAUUGUGGCUCAGUGGUAGAGCGAUCCUCUAGCACAUGGGAGGCCCUGGGUUCGAUCCUUAGUGCCA